AAAAAAGGUAAGCUACUAAGAGCGAAUGGUGGAUGCCUUGACUGGUAAAGGCGAUGAAGGACGUACUAGACUGCGAUAAGCUACGGGGAGCUGUCAAGAAGCUUUGAUCCGUAGAUUUCCGAAUGGGGCAACCCAAUGUAUAGAGAUAUACAUUACCUAUAUAGGAGCGAACGAGGGGAAUUGAAACAUCUUAGUACCCUCAGGAAAAGAAAUCAAUAGAGAUUGCGUCAGUAGCGGCGAGCGAAAGCGCAAGAGGGCAAACCCAGUGCUUGCACUGGGGGUUGUAGGACUGCAAUGUGCAAGAGGUAAGUUUAGCAGAACAUUCUGGAAAGUAUAACCAUAGAGGGUGAUAGUCCCGUAUGCGAAAAACAAACCUUAGCUAGCAGUAUCCUGAGUAGGGCGGGACACGAGGAAUCCUGUCUGAAUCCGGGUCGACCACGAUCCAACCCUAAAUACUAAUACCAGAUCGAUAGUGCACAAGUACCGUGAGGGAAAGGUGAAAAGAACUGAGGUGAUCAGAGUGAAAUAGAACCUGAAACCAUUUGCUUACAAUCAUUCAGAGCCCUAUGUAGCAAUACAGGGUGAUGGACUGCCUUUUGCAUAAUGAGCCUGCGAGUUGUGGUGUCUGGCAAGGUUAAGCAAACGCGAAGCCGUAGCGAAAGCGAGUCUGAAUAGGGCGCUUAGUCAGAUGCUGCAGACCCGAAACGAAGUGAUCUAUCCAUGAGCAAGUUGAAGCUAGUGUAAGAACUAGUGGAGGACUGAACCCAUAGGCGUUGAAAAGCCCCGGGAUGACUUGUGGAUAGGGGUGAAAGGCCAAUCAAACUUCGUGAUAGCUGGUUCUCUCCGAAAUAUAUUUAGGUAUAGCGUUGUGUCGUAAUAUAAGGGGGUAGAGCACUGAAUGGGCUAGGGCAUACACCAAUGUACCAAACCCUAUCAAACUCCGAAUACCUUAUAUGUAAUCACAGCAGUCAGGCGGCGAGUGAUAAAAUCCGUCGUCAAGAGGGAAACAACCCAGACUACCAGCUAAGGUCCCUAAAUCUUACUUAAGUGGAAAACGAUGUGAAGUUACUUAAACAACCAGGAGGUUGGCUUAGAAGCAGCCAUCCUUUAAAGAAAGCGUAAUAGCUCACUGGUCUAGUGAUUUUGCGCGGAAAAUAUAACGGGGCUAAAGUAAGUACCGAAGCUGUAGACUUGCACACAACUUAGAUUAUUUAAGUUUAGAAUAUGAGAAACUAAGUUAUAUGUUUAGUUAUAUUUUUACUGAUUUUUAUAGAGUAAAGAUAGAAAUAAAACUUAGUAAAAUCAGUAAAAAUAUUCUUAGACUAAAGUUAAGUAGUUUAAGUUGUGUGCAAGUGGUAGGAGAGCGUUCUAUUUGCGUCGAAGGUAUACCGGUAAGGAGUGCUGGAGCGAAUAGAAGUGAGCAUGCAGGCAUGAGUAGCGAUAAUUAAUGUGAGAAUCAUUAACGCCGUAAACCCAAGGUUUCCUACGCGAUGCUCGUCAUCGUAGGGUUAGUCGGGUCCUAAGUCGAGUCCGAAAGGGGUAGACGAUGGCAAAUUGGUUAAUAUUCCAAUACCAACAUUAGUGUGCGAUGGAAGGACGCUUAGGGCUAAGGGGGCUAGCGGAUGGAAGUGCUAGUCUAAGGUCGUAGGAGGUUAUACAGGCAAAUCCGUAUAACAAUACUCCGAGAACUGAAAGGCUUUUUGAAGUCUUCGGAUGGAUAGAAGAACCCCUGAUGCCGUCGAGCCAAGAAAAGUUUCUAAGUUUAGCUAAUGUUGCCCGUACCGUAAACCGACACAGGUGGGUGGGAUGAGUAUUCUAAGGCGCGUGGAAGAACUCUCUUUAAGGAACUCUGCAAAAUAGCACCGUAUCUUCGGUAUAAGGUGUGGUUCGCUUCGUAUUAGGAUUUACUCCGAAAGCGAAGAAACUUACAACAAAGAGUCCCUCCCGACUGUUUACCAAAAACACAGCACUCUGCUAACUCGUAAGAGGAUGUAUAGGGUGUGACGCCUGCCCGGUGCUCGAAGGUUAAUUGAUGGGGUUAGCAUUAGCGAAGCUCUUGAUCGAAGCCCGAGUAAACGGCGGCCGUAACUAUAACGGUCCUAAGGUAGCGAAAUUCCUUGUCGGUUAAAUACCGACCUGCAUGAAUGGCGUAACGAGAUGGGAGCUGUCUCAAAGAGGGAUCCAGUGAAAUUGUAGUGGAGGUGAAAAUUCCUCCUACCCGCGGCAAGACGGAGAGACCCCGUGGACCUU
rnacentral:rRNA from 1 species